rnacentral:rRNA from 1 species
AGCGAACGCUGGCGGCAGGCCUAACACAUGCAAGUCGAGCGGCCGUAGCAAUACGGCAGCGGCAGACGGGAGAGUAACACGUGGGAACGUGCCCUUUGGUUCGGAAUAACGCAGGGAAACUUGCGCUAAUACCGAAUAAGCCCUUACGGGGAAAGAUUAUCGCCAUUGGAGCGGCCCGCGUCUGAUUAGCUAGUUGGUGGGGUAACGGCGUCACCAAGGCGACGAUCAGUAGCNGGUCUGAGAGGAUGAUCAGCCUCACUGGGACUGAGACACGGCCCAGACUCCUACGGGAGGCAGCAGUGGGGAAGUAUUGGACAAUGGGCGCAAGCCUGAUCCAGCCAUGCCGCGUGGAUGAUGAAGGCCUUAGGGUUGUAAAGUCCUUUUAGUCGGGGAAGAUAAUGACGGUACCCGCAGAAAAGCCCCGGCUAACUUCGUGCCAGCAGCCGCAGUAAC